UACAUGGGGUGCAAACGUUGCUCGGAAUUAUUGGGCGUAAAGCGCACGUAGGCGGUUUGUUAAGUCGGAUGUGAAAUCCCUCGGCUCAACUGAGGAAGUGCAUCCGAAACUGGCAAGCUUGAGUACGAAAGAGGGUCGCGGAAUUCCCGGUGUAGAGGUGAAAUUCGUAGAUAUCGGGAGGAACACCGGUGGCGAAGGCGACGUCCUGGACCGGUAUUGACGCUGAGGCGCGAAAGCCAGGGGAGCAAACGGG
rnacentral:rRNA from 1 species